rnacentral:misc_RNA from 1 species
GUCAUUCAGUGCUUAUUAAGUUGACAGAGACACGAGGCAUCUGCAUCUUGUAUAGACUGAGGUGCUUCUGUUCCAACCUGAAGCAGACUGAUCAGUUCUUCCUUCCUUCACAGAGGAUGAAGUGGUACCCAUGCGUUGACUUAAAUGGUGCGCUAGUAGCUCCCACAGGUGUGCUAAAUGCAACAUCCUGAAAAGGGCCAGCCAUUU